rnacentral:rRNA from 1 species
UACGUAGGGUGCAAGCGUUAUCCGGAAUUAUUGGGCGUAAAGAGCUCGUAGGCGGUUUGUCGCGUCUGCUGUGAAAACCGGAGGCUCAACCUCCGGCCUGCGAGUGGGGUACGGGCAAACUAGGAGUGGCGGUAGGGGAGAUUGGAAUUCCUGGUGUAGCGGUGGAAUGCGCAGAUAUCAGGAGGAACACCGAUGGCGAAGGCAGAUCUCUGGGCCGUAACUGACGCUGAGGAGCGAAAGCGUGGGGAGCGAACAGG